rnacentral:misc_RNA from 1 species
GCGAUAAGGGUGCGGCGAAGUGGUGCAGCCCUGUUGCCCCUGCCAACAGCUUGCAAACAUGCAUGUACAUCAUUCCUUGUUCAAUGAGUUGCUUCAGACCAGCGUUUAGGCGUGCCGUUUAAACGACGUGGAGUCGGGACAGAGGAAUCCGUCAUGACGCGCAUUCAUACCCUGCAGCAACCCAAAGAGUGGGAUCGGCAAGAAGACUUCGCACGAGAAGGUGCACUCGGGUUUCCACAAGCGCAGAACAGAAGAUUUCUGAAGCGAGGGCGAAAAAGGGCGGCAGGAACCCACAGCGACUAGGGAAUGCGCGACUCUGUGCCGUCUGAGACAGACACCAGGAUGCCCUCUCCGUAAGCCAUAGCGCAUCAGGCGAAACGAUCGAGGAAGCGGCUCUUUAGCCAACAGGAAAAGCAAAAAAGAUAGCGCAGCUCCGAAAAGGUUUCAUUUCGCAUGCGAAGCUCCACAAGCUCACCCCCAGUCGACAGGCUGGCGGCGGCGUGCACCAUCUUCACGGACGAUGCCGAGUAGUCCGCGAUGAAACUUGCUGCGGGUGACAGGCAGUGCUCCAGCCGCUGAGCAGCCCGUCAGCCACAACUCCGCCUUCGUGCGACGCCUGUACGGCGAGUGCCCGGCAAAGUACCGUGCAAGCAUCGUACGACGGGAAUAUCUGCUUUUCCCGAGAGGGGUACUUGAUCAGUUGCGCUACCCAACACCACGAGGCGGCGGCACCAAACAUGACCGGCGGCCACGGCUCGCAAGGAGAGAUGUUUACGUGUCAAACAUCACAGCUCUUUCGCACUAGGGCCACACCACCCAUGCUCGGGGCGCGGGUUCACCGUCCUCUGCGGGAGCAGACACAGUUGCCAUCGGCCAAGAAAUGGCUCAGAUCAAGACGAACAUGAAUGGGGUCGCCAAGCGCUUGUGCCGCCACAGAGGUCCACCGCGAAGAUACAGCAACAACGGCAGUCCGAGCGGAACCGGGUACACCGCAAUGGAGGACAACGCUAGCGGCAACAGCAGCCUCCUGUUCCUGCGCGGCGCACUCUGCGCGUCGAUCUGCCGCGGCACCUCGGUGCAAAGGCCGGAUGCUUCACACGGAGGGCUAACUGCAUGGGGGACGGUGCCAAGCGAAUGGGGGAGCGCAGGAGAGGGUCACGGCACGGAGUGGCUGCGGGGCUGCUAGCGGCGACGGUGCGGGGGUGGAGCGCACACUGUCAAAGCCUAGCGGGGACAGGGGGGGCGCAGGAUGGCGCCUUGAGGGCCGCGGCGGCGGCGGCGAAGGCCACCCGCGAUGGCCGCAACGCGGCCUGGGCGGUGACAACACUCCCUCGAUAGUCUUUUUUCCCUUCAGCGCUGGCCGCGGGGCGGGCGGCUUCAAGCGCCUCUAUGGAGGAAGAGCCGCUGCAUGGAUUCUAUACCGGUGCCGGGCCAUGCACCGCUAAACACCCCCCCCCCCUCCCCCCCCCACACACACAAACGACGCCUUUCAGGGUGUUUGCCUGCCUCUUCUUUGAUUAUGGCUGCUGCCUUUACGCUGCCUGGAUAGGCCUGCGCGAGCAUGGGAAGGUCGUCUGGGUGCUGAUCUCUCGCCGGGCUCUUUCUUUUUUUUCUCUCGCGCCUUUUACAGGGCCUUUCGGGCCGCUGCCCGUUGUCGUGUGUUCUCUGUUCUGUAGUUGCACGUGUUCCCUCUUUAUAUUUUGCCCGGCUUCUCACUCGGCCUCUCUCUCUCUCUGCGCCGUGCGCUGCCGGAGGAAACGCUUCGACGUGCGGGCCUGUCUUGUGGCCGGCGGUUGUCGUAUGCGCCGCAUGCGAUUCGUCGUGCUGUGGCGGCGGCGGCAACAAAGAGAACGGCACAACCGAAGGAGCAGAACACAUCGCUGCAGCACUUCCUCUCGAGAACGAAGCGCACGAUCGCCGCGUCUCUCUCCCCCCCGCGUGUGCACACCGGCUGUGACGCGCGUGUGUUUGCCUCGUCCCUAAGGUGUACCUCACAAGGGCGCUUCCUCUUGUUUCUCACCCGUGCUCGUCACACACGUCUUCUCUUCGAAGUUGCCACAUGCACUUACACAGGGUUUUCUUUGCGGCUUUUCUCUCUUCUGCUGGUGCGCGCGUGUGUGCGUGAAGGCGCAUGAGAGCUCCUGCGUGUCACCUGCUCAUACUCCCUCUCCCUCUGCAGCACUCCGCCCAGUGAAUGGGGCCGUCCUUAGCUGCUUUACAGAGAGGCGGUUAUCAUAGAGGGUGCUGCCUCUUGCGCGAAGCUGCGCUCGCGCGCUGUGUGACGCUGAUUCUCCCGCCACUGCGGCGGCUUUCCUUUCGCCCCU